UCCUAUAGGAAAAUAGCCAAACUCUUCUUAACUCGGCAUGCAAGACACUUCACAAUAUGCUGACUUCACUGAAGGCUGGCAAUUAUCAAGCAUAGCAGAUAUUAAAAAUGAAAAUAUAUAUUAAUUCUUUCCUCAAAAAGUUCUUUGUCAAAGAAGAUAGAAUUAAAGUGAACAAAUUUGAUAUGCGUGGUGAGGAUAACAGUAGAGGCCGUAGAAACAGCUCCAGAGAGAGGUGGUUCAUUCCACCUGUGGGGUCAGGACAGGUUCCUCAAGGUCGUGAUAUCUAAGAGAGCUUUUAAUAGAGGACCAGGAGGCAGAUGGGGGAAGAGGCUGGGAGAGCAUUCCAGACUUAUGCUGAGGCAGCGCAGUGAGAAACAGCUGGAUGGCUAUGGGCAGCAACACAACUGGGCGUCCUUCUUGGAGGUUAAAGCGGAGGGAGGAGCAGAGGAGAUGAGAUUGGAAGAUGGACAGGGGUUAGGUUACGGCUCUUGUGGGACAUGCUUGGGGACUCAGGCUUCAUACACAGGGGAUGGGGUCUGUGGAGGGUUUUGGCAGAGAGGAGACUUGAUCCUAUCGUGUUUCAGCAGGAUCACUUCAGCAGCGGUGUGAAGGAGGGACCGGAGUUGGCGUGCCCUACAAAUACGCGGCCUGCUUGGCCCCGAGGAGGUUUGAGGCCUCCAGCACAGGUAUCGCUUCAUUUAUCCACAAGACUCUUGCCCUCCUCUCCUGGUGAACCCCUGACUGUCCUUCAAGAUGCUGCCCAAAUGUCGCCUCUUCUUUGAAUUCGUCAAUGCUUCAUGCUGUAUAUACCUCGAUUCAUAUUAGCCACACAUUAUUAUAAUUAUUUUUGUAGCAAGGUCUUCAACCUGAGAGACUUGGCUGUUUGUACUUUGGGAGUCACACAUGUUGAUAAUCCUAAGCGGCAGGCGGAUCUUCCAGGAAUGUGUUUGAGCGAGGACCAUUCUGGGAGAAAACUCAACCUGAGGGAAGAAAAGCCAAGAAUAACACGUUGUCCUGUCACAAAGCCUCGGUUGUUAGAAAGCAGAGCGCUAUGAGGACCACAUUAUGUCUGCGUGCUGGUUACCAGGCUCUUACCCCUCACCCCCAAACCUACAUGUUCAUGCUCUGUGAUGCUGGGGCUGGGCUUCUGCUCUGCCCUUAGAAAGCUCUAGAGGGAGAUGCAGAAUGCAGGAGAGAAGAGGGGCUUGCUCCUUCCUGUUUGCUCUCCAUUCCGUGUCUAAGUAACAGCACUUCACUGGGGUGCAGCAGUUGGUUACCAAUCCCCCUCAGAGGUGCCAGUGGCAGCUGGGGGCACCACUCCUCAAAGAUCAAAUCCCAGCUUUGGGCGUCUCCGCCUCCAAGCUCCUAGGCUGUAAAACUCCCACCCUUCCCCCUUUCUUCCCAGGCUCUGGACAAAGGCUGCGUCCUGCAGCUGCUGUCUCUGUAUUGCCUGGUGUUCCUUUUGCUUCUUUGGUCCUUCAGUACGUGUUUAGCCAAUUCCCCAUUCUAAACUUCCUCUUUUAAAAUCAGUAAUGUGGCUGCUCUUUUCCUGACUGGACCCUGACUGAUAAACGCUUCUACUCGGUUCUCUAUGGACAUAUAUCUGAAUCCUAUGGGUUGUAAGUAAAGAAUUGAAAGAUAAUUUUCUGUAAAAACAGUCCUAUUUUGUAUCUGUCCUAAACAGCAUGGCACAAAUAUUAACACAUUCUCUCCCUCUGACCACAGGGUCUUUCUAAGGUCAUCCUGCGGAAGACUCAGUGAAAUCACGGGGUUUUUAGAGCUCGAUGCAGCGGUGACCAGCUGAGAGGGGCAGGGAUGGAGGCCAGGGAAAUUUGGCUGAUGGCCAGGCAGGUAAAGAAAUGAGUAAAGUAGCUUCAGUCAGUGAAACAAGAGAGGUGGGUCACUGGUAACCUGGAGACCAAGUACCUUGUCAAUAAGGGACAGCUACUAUUGGGUUCCAGCCUGUUACUGCCAUGUGGGAAUGCAGGGUCAGUAUCUACUACAUUUUCAAGGAAGCUCAAAAUCGAUCUUUUUUAGGUAAAAUUCGUUCAAAACUAAUACAAGUUAAUAAAAAAGAUAACUAUUCAGGUCAUUACCAUGCAAGUCAAACCAUAUCUUUUUUCAUUAUAGACCAUUGGUCACUAUUUCUCAAAUCGGCAGAAACUGAUAAGAUGUAUUCAUGAGAUUGUGGAAGUCUUAUGAAUACUCGACGAUCGUGGGAGAUGUCUUUGCAGGGCACUUAGUUCCUAUAAUUAUAGAUGUGGGUAAGAACCAGUGACACAAAGUUUAUAUUUAUUCACAAGUCUUGUUCCUUAUUAGAUGAUGAGCUCCUGGGAGGGCAAGGUUCUGUCUCAUUCAUUCAUGUGUCUCUAGCCCCUGGCAUAAUUCCUGAUAUAUAGUAGGCAGUCGAUAAGUUUUAAUGAAUGGCUGAGUGAAUGAGUUAUUAAGAAAGAUAGUGUAAUGUGUAAAACAUAGCCUGGAAAUUAGACUCGGGUUCUGCUCCUGGAUUUACCAUUAGCUGUGUGACUUUGGGAAACCGCUUAACUUAUCUGAAAUAAAUUUUCUCAUCAGUAAAGUGGAGAUACUAAUACCACCUUCCAAGGUUUUCUAUUUUAUUAUUUAUUCUAAGUUUAUUAAGGUAAUAAAAGUGAAAGUGCCUUGUGGAGGGAUUAACUAGGAAUGGGGGUUGAGGAAGUGUUCAAACGUUUUGUUUCCCCAGCAGCUUACUCUGUAUCUGUAGCAUAAUUAGGACUAAAACUUUGAUACAGUGUCCUAGCCCAGUGAGAGCUCACCUGCAUGUGCCGAUAGUCAAUAAUGUGUUGAAGAAUUCCAUCGUUUUGUUAUUAACGUUGAAUUGAUUUCCCCCAGAAUGACUCUGCUACAUUGAACGUUCACCCACCAUUCAAUGAGGAAAACCUUCCACCUUACCCACAUUUGUGCAGCUCAAAUCUUUAAAGUAUUUUUAAAGGAAUGUAUCUUUGAUUAAUUUUCCUUUUCUGGAGUAUCCAAGGUUAUGAUUUGAGAAAAUAGCCCUUUUAUUAAAUGUGCUUUUUGGA